CUGACCCUCCUUGCUUUGUGACUGCUGUCAGAGAAGCUGUCUACCUCUUUGUAUCCAGUCUCUUCAUCUGUAGUCUACCUAUAAUUGAUUUUGUUUACUGUCAUGUCCUCCGAUUGGUUAAUGUUUGUGUAUAUGAAGACUCUUGAUUUCUUACAUUUGGAUUUUUGAGCGCUCGCAGAAACUUGGGCACUGAUGAAAGUCUCUGGGCCUGCAAAGUCGGGAACCCAACACUCUGGUCUUGCCUAAGAAGACAUCGCAUUGUAACAAUUGUAAAAGAUAUUUUCAGGUGCACAUGGCCUCUACUGACUCUCCUCAGGAAUUGCGGACAUGCAGACUAAGAAGUCAUGCUCCUUGUCUGAGGUCGGUUAGAGUCCUUAAUUGCAAACAGAAUCUACAAUGACUGGUUUAAGCACAAAAGGGAUUUACUAAAGGCUGUGAGGUCACUCACAGAAUCGUGCGGACUGGGAACAGGCUUUGAGACUAUGCUGCCAGGACCAACACCCAAACCGUGCAGUGGGGCUGGACAGAUGAGAACGCUGCUGUCACUGCUGCCACCACCAGAUUAAUGCCUGGGCUUCUGCUGCCAGAACCGAGGCCAUUCUCAGUGGCGAAAGCUGCAUGUAGACUAGCGAAGUGGAUGUUCUGCAGAGAGCCUGCUUUCUUGUGACUCUCACUUCCAAAUGGGAGUGCUUGAUUGGCACAGAGGGAGGCCCCGCCCUGCUUCUGGCUGCUUGGGGGGCGGGUUUCGGGUUUCGAG
rnacentral:lncRNA from 1 species